rnacentral:lncRNA from 1 species
GUAUAUACUGUCAGGGUUUGAUGAUAUCUUAGACCUACGUAGACUCUACUAUAGAAAUGGAAGGUACUAGGAAAACCAAGAGUAGCAAAUGUGUGAAAGACGGUUAUUAAUUCACCAUUUUCUCUAGGUCAAUCUGUUACUUAUGCAUGUAUUUGCCCAAAUCUUUAUACACAUAUUUUGAAUUUUCAUCCAAAGAAGCAUUUUGAGAUUGUUUGUACCCACAGUGAUGUUAGGUAUCUCAAUGAGCACAAAUAUAAUAUCUUUAAAUUUGUGGACAUUGUCAUUUGAUUUUGAAGUAAAACAAUUAC